rnacentral:lncRNA from 1 species
GCAAUCUCGGCUCACUGCAAGCUCCGCUUCCCGGGUUCACGCCAUUCUCCUGCCUCAGCCUCCCGAGUAGCUGGGACUACAGGCGGUGCGCCGUUUUUUAAGCCCGUCGGAAAAGCGCAGUAUUCGGGUGGGAGUGACCCGAUUUUCCAGGUGCCGUCCGUCACCCCUUUCUUUGACUCGGAAAGGGAACUCCCUGACCCCUUGCGCUUCCCGAGUGAGGCAGUGCCUCGCCCUGCUUCGGCUCGCACACGGUGCGCGCACCCACUGACCUGCGCCCGCUCUCUGGCACUCCCUAGUGAGAUGAACCCGGUACCUCAGAUGGAAAUGCAGAAAUCACCGUCUUCUGCGUCGCUCACGCUGGGAGCUGUAGACCGGAGCUGUUCCUAUUCGGCCAUCUUGGCUCCUCCAGGCCAAUUUACUUUCAAAAAUACCUGCAUCCAGGAACUCUCAUGCUAGCAGGAUGAGGUAAUGACUAUUUCCCAUACUCGUGUCAACUUUGAGCAAUGCUAGGAAUUUCCAUAUGUCCAAACAACUGUUUAUCAGGAAAUGCAACAAGGUACUUUUGACACUGAGCGUGAAAGGAACUCAUUGAACCAAAAUCUUCCAAAAAGACUGGAACAUAAGAGAGCGGAUGAAGAGCAUAAUAGAAGAGAAGUGCCAGGGAGGAGGAUUAUCUUAGGCAGAGCACACUGAGGAUGGAGAGUUACCAGCCCUCCCGAGCUGUCGUUGGCACUGAACCAAUGAGAGCCAUUCAUGUGCCUGUCUGUGCCUUGUGUUUUUCUUCUUCAACAUAUACUUUAGAACAUCCAUUCUGUGCAAAGCUCUGUGCCCACAGCUGUUGAGAUGCCAGAUGCAUGCUGUUCCCUGCCCUGAAGACCCCAGCAGUCAGGCCAGGGAGAGAAGACAUUCUUAGACAACCCAACAGUCGUCCCUGGGGAAAGCUCCUCAAAGGCUCGAAGCCAGCCUGAGUGGGCCACUUGAAGAGCCACGGGCUGUGGGAAGAUACGGAGAGGCUACUCCGACGUGGGGAGGAGGUAGGUAUGACGAUGUCCUCUGUGCCUGAAGCCCACUCCGUCCCACUCCCAAUACUCCCACCAUCUCAUCAGUGGGGCAUGCUCGCCCUGGUUAAUGUCAUCUCCCUGAACUGCCAACGAGGCUAGCAGCUUUGCUGCUUAAAACCGGUAACAUCAACCAACAUAUGGAGAUGUCAUCAUGAUUAAACGGCAAAUUAUAGCCGAAGACGGCGCGAUAAUAAUCUAAACAAUCACCACAAGAAGAAACGUUCUCUAACGCUCCAGUUGCGGAAGCCUGCGUUUCCAAGACUCGCGGCCCUGCGUUCCCAGGGAUAUCUCCGUGCUCACGUGAGCGUGGUCCUCGGCUUGGGACAGACAAGGGAGCCCCAGACAGGACGAUAAGGUUUGGAGAUUCCCAGGGCGAUCUGGGACUCCGUGGCGUGGGGGCUUGGAAGCGCGUGGAGGGGCUGAGAGAGGGGAGAGGGCGCCCUUCCUCUAGGGCGGCCCCGUCUGGGAAGCAGUUGGAACAGCAGUAGGAGCCAGGGGUUCCUAGAGAAGAACCCUGUUAGGAGAGCAGACCAGCCCGCGCUCCCAGUCCCCGCCCCCUCGCCCCUUCUGCCCCGCCCUUAGCCUGCCUCUUCCUAGAUCUUCCAGGACAUUGAUUUCCGAGUAGGAAGCCCGCGCUGCUAGGGGAGGGGCGUCCUCUGUGGGUCGUGGGGGGGUUUCCCUUCUCUCCACAGUCGGAGCAGAAGGGCGCCUGCCUUUUAUUUUGACAAGCAAUGGGCUUAGUUGUGAGCACUUGUUUGCCCCCAAUAUGUAGAGGAAAAGAUACUGAUAGGAGGCGGCGUGCUACGAUGGCAAAAAUGGAGAAGACCCUCCCUCUUUAUCCUGGUUCUCCUCCUUGUUAAAUAGAUUCGUAUUUAAGAUAGGCACAGACAUUCUAAUUUGAAUUCCAGGGGUUGAACUCCAGUUAGAAUCAUCCUAUUUAUACGCAGACCGAAAAUAACCAUUGAAACGAAACCAACAAAAUGCAACUAUUUUCCAAAACCCCGAGCGUUUGCUGGAAGCACGGUUUCGGGGAAGUGGCCAAGUGGCUUAAGUGAGGAGGGUCUGCUUGAAGGUGGCAGGUCUGCUUGAAGCGGCUUCCUGAAGAGGUGAGCUUAUCACCGGCAUCCUGUGUCCCUUCAGGUUCCCUGAGAACUGGGUCAAGAAAGCAGGUUGGGGUAGGAAACAAACGACACCCCCAUUUCAAACAAUAACUUUUAUUUUAUACUUCUCUAUACUUUGUAGCAAAUCUUUUUUUGCUGAAUUUAAUUUAUAAUAAACUUUUUAAAUUACAUCU